GACGAACGCUGGCGGCGUGCUUAACACAGAAUGAAGAAACGAGUGGCGAACGGGUGAGUAACGCGUAAUCAACCUGCCCUUCAGAGGGGGACAACAGUUGGAAACGAAUGCUAAUACCUAAUACUGUGAGAGAGCUUUGCGUCCCAUUAGCUAGUUGGAGAGGUAACGGCUCACCAAGGCGAUGAUGGGUAGCCGGCCUGAGAGGGGGAGAGGCCACAAGGGGACUGGGGAACGGCCCUUACUCCUACUGGAGGCAGCAGUGGGGAAUAGUGGACAAUGGACCAAAGUCUGAUCCAGCAAUUCUGUGUGCACGAUGAAGUUUUCGGAAUGUAAAGUGCUUUCAGUUGGGAAGCGGUACCCACAGAAGAAGUGACGGCUAAAUACGUGCCAGCCGCCGCGGUAAUAC
rnacentral:rRNA from 1 species